rnacentral:lncRNA from 1 species
CAGUAACUCCCCUUUACUGCCCAAGUUAGUUCAGUUUGGGUUUCUGUCACUUGUAAUUUAAAGAAGACAGAUUCCCUAAAAGGACAUUCCAGUGGAAGCCUAGGGAGUGUGAAGAGUACUGUGAGGAUAGCCUUUAAAUUGCCAUCUCUCUAACUACAUUUCUUCAAACAAUAUUGCCAUUGGAGCGGUAUCAAUCAGACAGGAUUGCCCUUGGACAUCAAAACUCUCAGAGACAGCCCUCGUGAAUAAAUUCUGAUUACUCCUGUAUUCCAAAGAGAAAAUGUAUUUUUUCAGACGGUUGUGAGCUGUGAGUGGGCAUUUAAUAAAAAAAUAAUAUCGACUUCUCAUUUG